rnacentral:rRNA from 1 species
GUAAACGGCGGCCGUAACUAUAACGGUCCUAAGGUAGCGAAAUUCCUUGUCGGGUAAGUUCCGACCUGCACGAAAGGCGUAACGAUUUGGGCACUGUCUCAACCAUGGACCCGGUGAAAUUGCACUAGUCGUGAAGAUGCGACUUACCCGCAGAAGGACGGAAAGACCCCGUGAACCUUUACUGCAGCUUGACAUUGGCUGCCGGUGCGUCGUGUAGAGGAUAGGUGGGAGACUAUGAACCAGGGACGCCAGUUUCUGGGGAGUCACCCUUGGAAUACCACCCUCGACGCUCUGGCAUCCUAACCCGUGGCCGUAAUCCGGCAUGGGGACCGUGUCAGGUGGGUAGUUUGACUGGGGCGGUCGCCUCCUAAAAUGUAACGGAGGCGCACGUAAGGUCUGCUCAAGAUGGUCGGUAACCACCUUUUUGAGUGCAAGAGCAUAAGCAGGCUUGACUGCGAGACGUACAUGUCGAGCAGAUGGGAAACCAGGUUCUAGUGAUCCGGCGGCUCAGAGUGGAAUGGCCGUCGCUCAACGGAUAAAAGGUACUCCGGGGAUAACAGGCUGAUCUUCCCCAAGAGUCCACAUCGACGGGAAGGUUUGGCACCUCGAUGUCGGCUCAUCGCAUCCUGGGGCUGUAGUAGGUCCCAAGGGUAUGGCCGUUCGCCAUUUAAAGCGGUACGCGAGCUGGGUUCAGAACGUCGUGAGACAGUUCGGUCCCUAUCCUCUGUGGGCGUAGGAAAAUUGAGGGAGGCUGCCCCUAGUACGAGAGGACCAGGGUGGACGGACCUCCGGUGAACGGGUUGUUAACCUAAUAGCACUGCCCGGUAGCUGAGUCCGGUUUGGAUAACCGCUGAAGGCAUCUAAGCGGGAAGCCAAUCCCAAGAUGAGUUUUCCUUUCGGUAAGACCCCUCGUAGACUACGAGGUGAUAGGCAGCAGAUGUAAGGCGUGUGAGCGCUUCAGUCGAGCUGUACUAAUCGGUCGAGCUCUUCUUAUU